UAUCAAAAGCGAUGCCCCGGGAUUCUGC
rnacentral:piRNA from 1 species